rnacentral:sRNA from 1 species
UUUGCGUUAACGUUAGAAACGACAUCCUUUUUUUACAUUUGCCACAAUGCAAAUAGCAAAAAAAGAUAUAGUGUAUAGCGUGUUAAAAC